rnacentral:rRNA from 1 species
AUUGAACGCUGGCGGCAGGCUUAACACAUGCAAGUCGAGCGGGGGAAGGUAGCUUGCUACUGGACCUAGCGGCGGACGGGUGAGUAAUGCUUAGGAAUCUGCCUAUUAGUGGGGGACAACAUCUCGAAAGGGAUGCUAAUACCGCAUACGUCCUACGGGAGAAAGCAGGGGAUCUUCGGACCUUGCGCUAAUAGAUGAGCCUAAGUCGGAUUAGCUAGUUGGUGGGGUAAAGGCCUACCAAGGCGACGAUCUGUAGCGGGUCUGAGAGGAUGAUCCGCCACACUGGGACUGAGACACGGCCCAGACUCCUACGGGAGGCAGCAGUGGGGAAUAUUGGACAAUGGGGGGAACCCUGAUCCAGCCAUGCCGCGUGUGUGAAGAAGGCCUUAUGGUUGUAAAGCACUUUAAGCGAGGAGGAGGCUACUUUAGUUAAUACCUAGGGAUAGUGGACGUUACUCGCAGGAUAAGCACCGGCUAACUCUGUGCCAGCCGCCGCCGUAA